rnacentral:rRNA from 1 species
CAAGGAAUUUUGGGCAAUGAGCGAAAGCUUGACCCAGCGACACCGCGUGAGGGAAGAAGGCCUUCGGGUUGUAAACCUCUUUUUUUGGGGAAGAAUUUUGACGGUACCCAAGGAAUAAGCCUCGGCCAACUACGUGCCAGCAGCCGCGGUAAUACGUAGGAGGCGAACGUUAUUCGGAUUUACUGGGCGUAAAGGGAGCGUAGGCGGUUCCUUAAGUCAGAUGUGAAAUCUUCUGGCUCAAUCAGAAGGUGUCAUUUGAUACUGAGGAGCUUGAGAGCAGCAGAGGGAAAUGGAAUUUCCGGUGUAGCGGUGAAAUGCGUAGAUAUCGGGAAGAACACCAGUGGCGAAGGCGAUUUCCCAGGUUGUUUCUGACGCUGAGGCUCGAAAGCGUGGGCAGCGAAGCGGAUUAGAUACCCGCGUAGUCCACGCCCUAAACGGUGGACACUAGAUAUAGGAGGUAUCGACCCUUUCUGUGUCGAAGCUAACGCUUUAAGUGUCCCGCCUGGGGAGUACGGCCGCAAGGCUG